rnacentral:lncRNA from 1 species
AACUGAGAAAUCAGGACAUCUUUCUCUACAGGCAAGAAGAGGAAAAUAAUACAUGAGUGACAGAAGAUUAAGUACAGUACUGAGCUUUGCCAAGUAGACCAGCUACUGGAAAAAAGCAACAACCAGACAAUUUGGAGUAAAGGAAAUGGAAGAAAAGGAAGG